UGACUGUAGCAGAUACACAGUGAUGGGUGGGAACUGCUGAGCGGCCUCCUGGAAUUGCUGCCUGCCCCUGCCCAACCUCAGAUGUGCUUCCUGGAGGAAGGGAUAAUCCUUAGGCACCUGGGAAAUACGCUG